GCAGUUUUAAAACUACAUAGCCAUCUCUAUUUCAUCCCCCAUUUAAUAGUCAUUCAGCAAACACAGUGAGAAGCCUGAAAUUCAGAGAGAAGAGUUAAUUUAUCCAAGGUCACAUGGAUGAUAAACAAUUGAGUCAAAAGUCAAGUCUGGUGCCAUUUCCACCACUAGGAUUUCUUAACCUGGCAUCUAUGGAUCUCCAGAGAGUUGAUCACUGAGCCUCAAUUGUUAUCUAAAUGCUGUGGAGAUAUGUGAAAAUUUGUAAAUUUAUUUGUCUGGGGGGCAGGUGGGGCUGGGCUAGUAGAAGUGAGUGUCGUAACUUUUAACAGGUCCUCAAAGUGAUCUUAGCCAAAAGGUUAAGAACUUAAAUGUUUAUGUAUUUAAAACGAUAUCAUUUGGGAUAAAUAUUAAACCAAGUUAUAUUUCUUUUCUCUCGAAACUUUUUCUCUCUCCCUCCUAACCCUCCUGAAUUUUGUAUCUGGGGGUGGGAGAAAGUUUACCUGUCCUCAUGGUGACAAGAGUAAGCAACAGGACCUCAUGUGCGUGUCUGUGAUCUCCGGCACUUUGCUGGUAUCCAUGGAAGUAUUCCUUGUCUUGCUUUCUAAGAAUCCUGCUGAUAUCCACAGCCAUAGACUGUGGCUGGUGACAUUCCCAGAAUCUUCUUUUGGCAUGAAUGGAGCUUGAUGGAUUGGCUCCAUGUUGACGCCAGCUGGUACUUCAGAUCUGUCCCUUGUAUCCUAGGUCUCUCUUGCAUCCAGCCUAUGGCUUAGACCCUCCCUUCUGUCACCUCUGCUCUGUGAUCACCAUUGAAGCUCUAAGGCAUGGUUAGGAAGUUAUUACCAUUUCAAAGACCUCUACUGUCAAACAGAUGAAAUAAAGAAGGAUUGAAAAGGUGGGCUAAUUGGUCUAGGAUAACAUUGCUGAGAAGUGGCAGGACCUGAGCCUCAAAAUAAGUCCUACUUCUCACUGUGCUCGUUCCAUCACUCCAGCUCCCUCUUCUUGAUGCUGGUACAGGUCUGCUCUGCACUGGGCUGCUCCUGAUAAUACAUGUAGGAGAUUGCCUGUCAUAGAAGAACCAGGGUUUUAGGGGAAGGCCAAAAGGAGACAAACUCAUAAAUACCUCCCGUAGGUCAACUGAGUAAAGUCUGUCUUCAGGUCCUGGAGUCCCAUCAUGUGGAAUAUAAGCUGUCUACUCUGGGGACCAGGGUACAACUA